AUGUUCCCGAGUACCGCGGGACACGGGAAACCCUGUGGGAAUCUGGGAGGACCACCUCCUAAGGCUAAAUACUACCAAGUGACCGAUAGUGUACCAGUACCGUGAGGGAAAGGUGAAAAGCACCCCGACGAGGGGAGUGAAAUAGUACCUGAAACCGUGUGCCUACAGAGUGUUGGAGCCCUCCGGGGUGACAGCGUGCCUCUUGCAUAAUGAGACGGCGACUUACGAUGUGCAGCAAGGUUAAGCGGUCAUACGCGAAGCCGAAGCGAAAGCGAGUCUGAAUAGGGCGUUUGUCAGUGUUUAUAGACCCGAACCCGGGUGAUCUA
rnacentral:rRNA from 14 species